rnacentral:ncRNA from 2 species
UACAAAUACGGCAAUGAUGUCUGCCUUGAACCGCCUUAAAAAGCUGAUGACGUCUAUUGAAUG